GGUCCGGUGGCUCAGGCGGUUAGAGUGCCAUGCUCCUAACGCCGAGGUCAUGGGUUCGAUUCCCAGCUGGGCCA